UAGGGAAUCUUCCACAAUGGGCGAAAGCCUGAUGGAGCAACGCCGCGUGUGUGAUGAAGGGUUUCGGCUCGUAAAACNCUGUUGUAAGAGAAGAAUGACAUUGAGAGUAACUUGUUCAAUGUGUGACGGUAUCUUACCAGAAAGGAACGGCUAAAUACGUGCCAG
rnacentral:rRNA from 1 species